rnacentral:rRNA from 1 species
UGAGGAAUAUUGGACAAUGGGCGAAAGCCUGAUCCAGCCAUGCCGCGUGUGUGAAGAAGGCCUUUUGGUUGUAAAGCACUUUAAGUGGGGAGGAAAAGCUUAUGGUUAAUACCCAUAAGCCCUGACGUUACCCACAGAAUAAGCACCGGCUAACUCUGUGCCAGCAGCCGCGGUAAUACAGAGGGUGCAAGCGUUAAUCGGAAUUACUGGGCGUAAAGCGCGCGUAGGUGGUUAUUUAAGUCAGAUGUGAAAGCCCCGGGCUUAACCUGGGAACUGCAUCUGAUACUGGAUAACUAGAGUAGGUGAGAGGGGAGUAGAAUUCCAGGUGUAGCGGUGAAAUGCGUAGAGAUCUGGAGGAAUACCGAUGGCGAAGGCAGCUCCCUGGUAUCAUACUGACACUGAGGUGCGAAAGCGUGGGUAGCAAACAGGAUUAGAUACCCUGGUAGUCCACGCCGUAAACGAUGUCUACCAGUCGUUGGGUCUUUUAAAGACUUAGUGACGCAGUUAACGCAAUAAGUAGACCGCCUGGGGAGUACGGCCGCAAGGUUA